UAAUCUAUUAUUACCAUUACUGUCUCUAUCAAAUGUUCCAAGAAGGAUUAGCAUUUUUAGCUGGACCUGGAAAGAACAAGGAUUUUGAUGACUGAUGUCCUAGUCAGCUUGGGUGGCUGUAACAGAAAUCAUAGAUAUUAAACAACAGAUAUUUAUUUCUCACAGUGCUAAAGGUUGGAAGACUAAGAUCAAGGUGCCAGUAGAUUUUGGCUUACAGAUGGCUGCUUCUCAUGUGUCCUUACCUGACAUAAAGAGAAGAACUCUGUUCUUUCUUCCCCUUUUUAUAAGGGUGCUAAUCUCAUCCUGGGAGUCACUACCUUCAUGACCUGUUAUAGUUUGAACAGGAUUGGGUUCUCCCAAACUAAUGCAGAUAUUUAAGCCCCUAAGUCUCAUGUUAAUGGAUGAUGCAAAAGUCUUUUGUAAAGUCUUAGGGUAAGUAGAUUAAUGCAAAAAGUUGAGGAGUAGUGUGAAGGCUUGCUCUAAUUAUGGCAUUUGAGAGGUAGGUCUCCUAGGAGGUCUUCAGGUCAUUGGCAGUCUGCCCUGGGCAGGUAAUUCUCCGCAGAGGAUUGGCUAUAUGAGCCACGUUUGGCCUAGUCUUUCUCUCUGAUUCCCUGACUUUCCAUGUGAUCCUCCCUCUCUCCACAUCCCACCAUUCAUCGCCCUCAUCAGAUGCAGAUUGAUAGACUGGACUAUGAACUUGCAAAACUGUCAGCGGAGGUAGCGGCAAGAUGGCGGAAUAGGAAGGGAGCACACUGAUAGUCUGGGGAGAGAUAGUUUAAUAAAAGUGGAGAUACUGCAGGUUCAAGGAAGAAUAGGGGAGGAAACAGCAGAAGAAACUCUUCCGGAACGUGUGACUCACAGCGGACCUGCGUGGAGAGCGUGGGAGCCCACAGUUCGGGACACCAGUGGCAGACUCAACACACCAGCGCUGGAACGCGAGGGUAUCUAAUUUCAAGUUGGUGUCAUCAGCACUAUUGACAUAGCAAGAGAAAAACAGCUAACAUGGGGGAACACAAUCAUUAAUUUGUACAGGAAUGGGACAACUGAACAUGUGGAUUUCUAAGAGAAAAGUUUUUUAGGUGAUGAGCAGUAAAUAAUUGGCACAUGAUUCAAGACCUCACGAGCAUGUAAACAUGGUGUUUUCCUUAGCCCUAAGCCAACUCUUCUGCAGAACAAAAGCAUCACCAAAAAUGCUCCCAUAGGGGCCAGCGUCGUGACGUAGCAGGUAAGACACAACUUGCUUCACUGGCAUCCCGAUAUCGGAGUGCCCAUUUGAGUCCCCAUUGGUCUACCUCAGGUCAAGCUCCCUGGUAAUGUGGCUGGAACGGCAGUGGAAGAUGGCCCAAGUGAGUUCCUGGCUCCUGACCUCAGCCUGGCCAAGUUCUAGCCUUUGCAGCCAUCUGGGGAGCGAUCUAGCAAAUGAAAUAUUUCUCUCCCUCCCUCCCUCUCUGUCUCUGUCUCUAUCUCUAUCUCACUUUGCUUUUCAAAUAAAUAAAAUAAAUCUUUUUAAAAAUCAUCUCCAGCGAUGUACAGGUCAGAAUUCUAAUCCUAGCAGAGCUGCCUGAAAGAGGUUGAUGAGGAAGGAAGGAUGUUCCCAGGAACCUAAUCAUCAUGUCUCAGAGUCUAUCCUGGAGCCCUGUGGACAGACCUCCUGCUAAGCCAGGGCUCCAGGGAGCAGUGAAAGGCCAAGGCCAAGGCCAAGGCGAUGACGUCUCCUAGCCAGUUUGAAGCGGUUCCACUGUGUCUGUCAUUCUGCACAGUCAUAUUCAGGGAGGAGGCAGGCGGGUCGCACUCACAGAUCCUGAAGUUGAUUAAGACUUCAACAUAGCUUUUUGAGGGACACAUUUCAAUCCGCACCAGCUGGGCCCAAAGAUGAGUAAAUGUUUCUAAGCAGAAUGAAGCAUCUACUGAAGUCUGAUCUCUUCAUGCAAGAGAAGAGCCAGUUACUGAAGUCUGCAUAUAGACAACAAAAACAGUAGCUCACCAUGUAGUCAACCUAGAAUGUUUGGCUAAUGGGGUUUGUGUGGCCCAGAAGGAUGCUAUGCCUCUGGGGAUGCCCACAUCAUGUAUCAAGAGCCUGGAUUGAGCCCCAGCUCCUCUCUUCCCAUUCAGCUUCCUUCUGAUGUGUACCCUGGGAUGCAGCAGAUUAUGGUCCAAGCACGUGGGCCCCUGCCAUCCAUGGAGGAGACCCAGAUGGAGCUCCUGGCUUAGGCCUGGUCUAGUACCAGCUGUUGUGGGUACUUGGGGAAUGAACCAGCCAAUGAAAGAUUUCUCUAUCUCUCUGUCACUCUGUCUUUCAAAUAAAUAAAAGUAAAUCAAGUUAAAAAAUAAAAAAGAGCAUUCAGCAACUUCAAUGAGUAGAUUGUCUGCAAUGCAUGAGUUGGUGUAGGUCCUAGCCAUCAGCUGCAGCCCCAAAUAGUACCUGUAGCAGCCACUCUAUUUAAAAAAAGAUUUAUUUAUUUGAAAGGCAGAGUUACAGAGAGGCAGAGGCAGAGACACAGAGAGAGGUCUUCCAUCCUCUGGUUUACUCCCCAGACGGCUGCAGCAGCCACUAUCGAUCUGAAGCCAGCAGGAGCUUCUUUGGGGCCAAGGACUUGGGCCAUCUUUUACUGUUUUCCUAGGUCAUAGCAGAGAGCUAGAUCAGAAGUGGAGCAACUGGGACUAGAACUGGUGCUCAUAUGGGAUGGCAGCACUGCAGGCCACGGCUUUACCUGCUAUGCUACAGCGCCGGCCCCUUUCUUAUAUUUUUUUAAGUUUAUCUGAGAGACAGAGAGAAAGAGAGAGGGAGAUAUUUCCCACCCACUGGUUCACUCCCUGAAUGUCCUCCAUGGCCUGGGUUGGGCUGAGGCUUCAGCCAGGAGGUGGAACUCAAUCCAGAUCUCCCGUACUACAUUACUUGAACCAUCACUGUCAUCUCCCAAGGUGUGCAUUGGUGGGAAGCUGGGAUCAGGAUCCAGAGCUAGGAAUUAAACCUAGGUAUCCCUAUGCGGAACAUGCAUCUGUUAAAUGCUAGGCUAAAUGCCCACCCCUAGUGUGCACCUUAAAACUUAAUUUUUAUACAAAUUUCAAUAUGCAAGCAUUUAGUGUAUAUAUCUUUUAAAGUAUAAUGAGCAGCCGGCGCCACGGCUCACUAGGCUAAUCCUCCGCCUUGCGGCACCAGCACACCGGGUUCUAGUCCCGGUCGGGGCGCCAGAUUCUGUCCCGGUUGCCCCUCUUCCAGGCCAGCUCUCUGCUGUGGCCCAGGGAGUGCAGUGGAGGAUGGCCCAAGUACUUGGGCCCUGCACCCCAUGGGAGACCAGGAGAAGCACCUGGCUCCUGCCAUCGGAUCAGCGCGGUGCGCCGUCAGCAGCGCACCAGCCACGGCGGCCAUUGGAGGGUGAACCAACGGCAAAGGAAGACCUUUCUCUCUGUCUCUCUCUCUCACUGUCCACUCUGCCUGUCCAAAAAAAAAAAAAAGUGUUUCUAAAAACUGAAAGCAACUAUUAUUUAUAGAUAAACCACUUUAAAAUUGAAACCACACUGUGAUAUUCCAAAAGUCAAAAAAAAAAUUUAAGUAUAAUGAGCAGGAAAAAAUCAUUAAUUUUUUUCUCAAAUGAAGAAAAUCAGUAAACAAAGCAUUUAAUUUUGAAUCAUCACUGGUGAUGGUGACAUUAAUCUCAUGCUUUUUGAGUGAUAAAUCAGCCUUUUGAAAGAAUGAUUUCUAAUAGCUUAAGCUGUCUCACACACCGAUAUGUCUCUUAUUUUUCUAAGAGUUGGCCUCGGGACCUGUGCUGUGGCAUAGUAGGUUAAGGCCCUGCUUGUAGUGCUGGCAUCUCAUAUAGGCGGCUUCCAAUCCAGCUCCCUGCUAACAGCCUGGGAAAGCAACAGAAGAUGGUUCAAGUCCUUGGGCCCCUGCACCCAUGUGAAAGACCUGGAAGAAGCUCCUGGCUCCUGGCUUCGGAUCAGUUGCAGCCAUUUGGGGAGUGAACCAGCAGAUGGAAGACCUCUCUCUUGGUCUGUAACUCUGCCUCUCAAAUAAAUAAAUCUAUCUUUAAAAAACAAUAAUAAAAAAAUUGGCCUCUAUCCCCAAUACCUUCAAACACAUGCUAUAAACCUGAAUCUACAGAUGUCUUCACCAAUCACGGGCUAUGUCAAACGUCAACAGGAAUCUCACUGGGUUCUCCAAAUCUCACGUCAGAAUCCAGCCAGGAAUCAGGGCGGACUCCUUGGUUUUCAGGUUUGCUCUCCUUGGAACUCAGGGGAUACCAAGAGCCUUUGGAUCACAGGCUGUCCUCACCGGCCCACUAGAUGUCACCCUCAGCUAAAUUAAGAGAAAGUCCGCCUACGACGCCAGGCACUGAGGGACACCUGGUUAGUUCCAAAGAACCAAGCACGAGUCUGUGUUAUACAUGUGCAGCCUAGGGGGAAGGGGCAGCAAGACGCAGCCUGUCACAAGUUUGGUGGGAAGGGAGGCUUCCCAACAGUGAAAGAAUGCUGUGGAUAUAAUCUGAGGUUAUUGAGUUUGUGGUGAAAUCUGUCUGGAUAAAGAAGGGAGCAGGACAAGUAGUGAUCCUGGCGGGAGAAGGGCAAACCAGGGAAUGACAACAGCAGGGCAAACGGCCUGAGGCAGAGCGAGCCAGUGCGGAAGGUGAGGAAGCUGUGAAGCCAGGCCUCAUAGGGCCUUGUAGGGCUCUGUAAAGUGUGCAAACUUCAUCCCAGGUGAAAUGGGAAAACUCAAGUCCACGGUUUUCCCACGGAAAACCUCUCCGAAUGCACUUGACCAUAAUCAUGAAGGCACAGCAGACAAACCCAAAUAAAGGAACUUUCUAUAAAGUAAGUGACUUGUGUUUUCUUUUGUAAAUGUCAAUGUCCUCAAAGAGAGAAAAAAAAAAAAAGGCCUGGGAAAGCAUCCCAGAAAAGGAGACUGUAAAUGCCAUCGCGAUCCUGGGCUGGAGCAAGAACAAAGCUCUCGCACAGCUUGUAGAUGCCGUAGAAUGACACGGCUAACAUUAACUUUCCCGAAGUUGACAUUGUGCUGCGGCUGUGUAAGAGAAUAUAUUAUUUGUGGAAUUUCCACAAUGAAGUUUUAGAGAGUAAAGUGAUGUGGCUGAGGUUUCCAAACACCAAUAUGUGCUGGGAAAGCUGCAGCCUUCUCUCAGGGAGGUGGAGCACGUGUGAUGGGUGCAUUUGACUAGUUAUUUCUUUAUUUGAAAGGCAGCUACAGAGAGGCAGAGGCAGAGAGAGAGAGAGAGAGAGAGAGAGAGAGAGAAAUCUUCCAUCUGCUGGUUCACUACCCAGGUGGUCAAAACGGCUGGAGCUGGGCUGAUCUGAAGCCAGGGUCUUCAGGGUCUCCAGUGUGGGUACAGGGGCCCAAGGAUUUGGGCCAUCUUCUACUGCUUUUCCAGGCCACAGCAGAGAGCUGGAUCAGAAGUGGAGCAGCCUGGACUUGAACUGGUGCCCAUAUGGGAUGCCAGCACUGCAGGCAGUGGCUUUACCCGCUAUACCACACAGCAGCAGCCCUAAAUUGUUACAUUUCUUUUCAUGUUCUCACCUCACCCUCAAAGCAGCUUCUAUGUCCCUAAGAACCUUCAAAAGAAAGCCUGAAGUUCCUUGUGGGUGGGUUUAGAGAUCACUGUGCUCCCAGUAGAAGAUGGUCACCCUCUGGGGAAGUGAUAACCUUGCUGAAAUAAAUGAAGGGUCUCCAGUGUCUUCAGAACUCACAUUCCUAAGAGCAAUGGCUCUCAUGCAAGAAAACCACCUGAAACGUGUGAUUCUCGUGCCUAAAACACUGACUUGGACACAGCAGAAGAGGUGAAGCACUGGGUGAGCAGUGGGAGUGAAUGACAGUUGCUCAGAGUGCGCAAGUUCUCUCUUUGUUAAAUGUGAAUUGCCGACAACAUGGGAGAGAAAGCUGGCUUGGGCUGAAACAGCCGUUGGUCAACACGCAUCUUUAUGAGCACCUAUUACAGGCAAGAUCAUAUGCUAAGUGCAUAAGGAAUGCAAAGAUAAUUUAAACGCAACAUGUGCCUCGAUUUUGUACCUUCAUCCCAGAAGACCUGGGCUAGGUUCCAGGGAGCUCAAGAAAGAGCUCAAUUUAAUUCAUUUAAUUUAUUUUUUAUUUUAUUUUUAUUUUU